GGUCAUGAGUGUCAGCGUCAAAGCCCCGGCUUGCUGGCCGGCAACCCUCCAACCGCGGUGGGGUGCCCCGGGUGAGAAGACCUGGUUAGUCGACUGCGUUCGCGUAGUCGGAGAACAAGCGCGGGUU
rnacentral:ncRNA from 2 species